rnacentral:rRNA from 1 species
UACAGAGGUCCCAAGCGUUGUUCGGAUUCACUGGGCGUAAAGGGUGCGUAGGCGGUCGGGUAAGUCUGAUGUGAAAUCUCCAAGCCUAACUUGGAAACUGCAUUGGAUACUAUCCGGCUAGAGGAAUGGAGGGGAGACUGGAAUACUUGGUGUAGCAGUGAAAUGCGUAGAUAUCAAGUGGAACACCAGUGGCGAAGGCGAGUCUCUGGACAUUUCCUGAUGCUGAGGCACGAAAGCCAGGGGAGCAAACGGG